rnacentral:rRNA from 1 species
AACGAACGCUGGCGGCAUGCCUAACACAUGCAAGUCGAACGAGACCUUCGGGUCUAGUGGCGCACGGGUGCGUAACGCGUGGGAACCUGCCCUUAGGUUCGGAAUAACUCCCCGAAAGGGGUGCUAAUACCGGAUAAUGUCUUCGGACCAAAGAUUUAUCGCCUUUGGAUGGGCCCGCGUUGGAUUAGCUAGUUGGUAGGGUAAAAGCCUACCAAGGCGACGAUCCAUAGCUGGUCUGAGGGGAUGAUCAGCCACCCUGGGACUGGGACCCGGCCCAGACCCCUAGGGGAGGGCGAAAGGGGGAAUUAUGGACAAUGGGCGAAAGCUGAAGGCCUUCGGGCCGUGGAAGUGUGUAAGGCGUUAGGGUUAAAAGGGUCUUUUACCAGGGAUGUUAAGACGGUACCCGGGAAAAAAGGCCCGGCUAACUCCGUG